CAGUCGCCGCGGUAAUACAGAGGGUGCGAGCGUUAAUCGGAUUUACUGGGCGUAAAGCGUGCGUAGGCGGCUUCUUAAGUCGGAUGUGAAAUCCCUGAGCUUAACUUAGGAAUUGCAUUCGAUACUGGGAAGCUAGAGUAUGGGAGAGGAUGGUAGAAUUCCAGGUGUAGCGGUGAAAUGCGUAGAGAUCUGGAGGAAUACCGAUGGCGAAGGCAGCCAUCUGGCCUAAUACUGACGCUGAGGUACGAAAGCAUGGGGAGCAAACAGGAUUGGAUACCCGGGUAGUCCCUGUCUCUUAUAC
rnacentral:rRNA from 1 species